AUGAUUCUUUUUUGCUGGUUACUGGGUUUAUCUUUGGGCCAUGGAGUCAUAGCAAAUAUUCAACUCAUUCAGCCCAGUUCAGAAAUAAAAAAGCCCGGCGAGAACAUAAAGUUAGAUUGUAAAACAUCUGGUUUUGACAUCACCAGCUACUAUAUGCACUGGAUUCAACAGGUCCCAGGGAAAGGACUGACAUGGAUAGGCAGAAUUGACCCAGCAAAUGGAAAAACUAUAUACGCAUCCUCAUUCACAGGAAGAUUCGUAAUAACUACUAAUAAUUCAGUUAGUACUGUAUACCUUGAUAUAACCAGUCUAAAGGUAGAAGACACUGCCACUUAUUACUGUGCUAGACACAAUGAGAAACAAUUACACAGAUCCUGUACAAAAAUGUUAAGCAGUAAUAUCAAAAAAUGUCCACUAGGGAGAAGCAUUUGUCAUUAA